UGGAUGUCCCAGGGCACUGGCAACCUGAGAACCCGAGUAACCGUAAACAGCCGGAAAGACAGGAACUUCCAGUACUCACACCUGGAUUUGCAAAGGCAGAGUUCCUGCUUUAGCCAGCUGGCUGCUAAUCAGGAGUCCUACUCUGGCUUAUGCACAGAAGGGAAGUGUGGAUGGAGCGUGGAAAGCCACAGAGGUUGGCAUGGGAAGGCAUUCUCCAGGAGGAAAGAUGGACUCAUGCAGGUGUUUGACUGAAUUUUUCUAACCUGCAUGGUCUCUGAUCAUGUCAGUUACCUUCAGGUAUGGGCACGCCUCUGCUCGGAUCUCCAGCCUCAUCAUUCCGCCUUCCAGGUCAUGAUCCUGGAAUCCUGCAUGGAGUCCCGCAUCGCAGCAUCCUGAGGGCUCCUGGUUCACAGGGAGUCGGCUUCUCCCUCUGCAUCUGCCCCUCCCCCUCCACUCCCCACCUGCCCAACUUGUGUUCUCUCUCUCUCUGUCUCUUUCUCAAAUAAAUAAAUUCUUUCUUUUUUGCUUUUUUAA